rnacentral:rRNA from 1 species
AUUGAACGCUGGCGGCAGGCCUAACACAUGCAAGUCGAACGAGUGGCGGACGGGUGAGUAAUGUCUGGGAAACUGCCUGAUGGAGGGGGAUAACUACUGGAAACGGUAGCUAAUACCGCAUACCAUCAGAUGGGCCCAGAUGGGAUUAGCUAGGUGGUGGGGUAACGGCUCACCAAGGCGACGAUCCCUAGCUGGUCUGAGAGGAUGACCAGCCACACUGUAACGCAGACACGGUCCAGACUCCUACGGGAGGCAUCAGUGGGGAAUAUUGCACAAUGGGCGCAAGCCUGAUGCAGCCAUGCCGCUUGUAUGGAGUGGGCCUUCGGGUUGUAAAAUACUUUCAGCGGGGAGGCGUUACCCGCAGAGGAAGCACCGGCUAACUCCGUGCCAGCAGCCGCGGUUAUUC